rnacentral:lncRNA from 1 species
AAGCGGUUGCCCUCUGAGGGCCGAAGCGUAUAUCGGUACCAGGUUCAGACUUCGUGGGAGGCUUUAAGAGGUUGGGAACGGGCCUAUGAUAAUACAUUGGCGUGGACAUGUGCGUCUUCAGUUUGGGAAAGUGUUUGUUAUGAGAGGUGGGUGGGACCACCGAGCGUCUGCUUUGGUGUAUCUGAUGGCUCAUUUGGUGUAUCUGUGAGAAACAGCAUCUCACUCUAUUGCCAACACUGAAGUGCAGUGGCACCAUCAUAGCUCACUGCAGCCACGGCCGCUUGACAACCUGGAUUGAAGCUAUCUUCCUGCCUCAGCCUCCUGAUUAGCUGGGACUACAGAACCAGCUGGGGACUUUUCUCAGAUCUUCACUGUGAGAACCUGCUAGAGUCCUUGGAGAUAAAACUCACGAAAGUAUAAAGAUAGCUCUAUGGCAAGGUCUUCUUGGAGUUUUUAACUCUCAGACUUAACCACAUUCAGCCUCCAGCAAUUCAUCAAUUACAGUUCAGGUUUUCCUAACCUUGUUCUGGUUCCUGCAGAGGCGCAAAGAUUUCUGCUUGUGAGUUUCUACUCUGG